ACAAAACUGGUAAAACUGAGUUUUGAAAAUCCCCGUGUCGGCGGUUCGAUUCCGUCCCCGGCCACCA
rnacentral:tRNA from 1 species